AGUGAACGCUGGCGGUAGGCCUAACACAUGCAAGUCGAACGGCAGCACAGUAAGAGCUUGCUCUUACGGGUGGCGAGUGGCGGACGGGUGAGGAAUACAUCGGAAUCUACUUUUUCGUGGGGGAUAACGUAGGGAAACUUACGCUAAUACCGCAUACGACCUACGGGUGAAAGCAGGGGAUCUUCGGACCCUGCGCGAUUGAAUGAGCCGAUGUCGGAUUAGCUAGUUGGCGGGGUAAAGGCCCACCAAGGCGACGAUCCGUAGCUGGUCUGAGAGGAUGAUCAGCCACACUGGAACUGAGACACGGUCCAGACUCCUACGGGAGGCAGCAGUGGGGAAUAUUGGACAAUGGGCGCAAGCCUGAUCCAGCCAUACCGCGUGGGUGAAGAAGGCCUUCGGGUUGUAAAGCCCUUUUGUUGGGAAAGAAAAGCAGCAGGUUAAUACCCCGCUGUUCUGACGGUACCCAAAGAAUAAGCACCGGCUAACUUCGU
rnacentral:rRNA from 1 species